UUACUUACCUAGACGGGGUCGACGGCCAUCAAGAAGGGUCGUGGCCUAGAUCAAUGGCUUGCAUUGCACUUGGCGAGCGCGUUGACCUAUCAUCUUUCUUGUGGGAGAGCGAACGUCAUAAUUUGUGAUAGAGGAGGUACGCGUUCACGCGGUCUCUAC
rfam:Triticum urartu cultivar G1812 contig228659, whole genome shotgun sequence.